rnacentral:rRNA from 1 species
GAUGAACGCUGGCGGCGUGCCUAAUACAUGCAAGUCGAGCGAACGGACGAGAAGCUUGCUUCUCUGAUGUUAGCGGCGGACGGGUGAGUAACACGUGGAUAACCUACCUAUAAGACUGGGAUAACUUCGGGAAACCGGAGCUAAUACCGGAUAAUAUUUUGAACCGCAUGGUUCAAAAGUGAAAGACGGUCUUGCUGUCACUUAUAGAUGGAUCCGCGCUGCAUUAGCUAGUUGGUAAGGUAACGGCUUACCAAGGCAACGAUGCAUAGCCGACCUGAGAGGGUGAUCGGCCACACUGGAACUGAGACACGGUCCAGACUCCUACGGGAGGCAGCAGUAGGGAAUCUUCCGCAAUGGGCGAAAGCCUGACGGAGCAACGCCGCGUGAGUGAUGAAGGUCUUCGGAUCGUAAAACUCUGUUAUUAGGGAAGAACAUAUGUGUAAGUAACUGUGCACAUCUUGACGGUACCUAAUCAGAAAGCCACGGCUAACUACGUGCCAGCAACCGCGGUAAUACGUAGGUGGCAAGCGUUAUCCGGAAUUAUUGGGCGUAAAGCGCGCGUAGGCGGUUUUUUAAGUCUGAUGUGAAAGCCCACGGCUCAACCGUGGAGGGUCAUUGGAAACUGGAAAACUUGAGUGCAGAAGAGGAAAGUGGAAUUCCAUGUGUAGCGGUGAAAUGCGCAGAGAUAUGGAGGAACACCAGUGGCGAAGGCGACUUUCUGGUCUGUAACUGACGCUGAUGUGCGAAAGCGUGGGGAUCAAACAGGAUUAGAUACCCUGGUAGUCCACGCCGUAAACGAUGAGUGCUAAGUGUUAGGGGGUUUCCGCCCCUUAGUGCUGCAGCUAACGCAUUAAGCACUCCGCCUGGGGAGUACGACCGCAAGGUUGAAACUCAAAGGAAUUGACGGGGACCCGCACAAGCGGUGGAGCAUGUGGUUUAAUUCGAAGCAACGCGAAGAACCUUACCAAAUCUUGACAUCCUUUGACAACUCUAGAGAUAGAGCUUUCCCCUUCGGGGGACAAAGUGACAGGUGGUGCAUGGUUGUCGUCAGCUCGUGUCGUGAGAUGUUGGGUUAAGUCCCGCAACGAGCGCAACCCUUAAGCUUAGUUGCCAUCAUUAAGUUGGGCACUCUAAGUUGACUGCCGGUGACAAACCGGAGGAAGGUGGGGAUGACGUCAAAUCAUCAUGCCCCUUAUGAUUUGGGCUACACACGUGCUACAAUGGACAAUACAAAGGGCAGCGAAACCGCGAGGUCAAGCAAAUCCCAUAAAGUUGUUCUCAGUUCGGAUUGUAGUCUGCAACUCGACUACAUGAAGCUGGAAUCGCUAGUAAUCGUAGAUCAGCAUGCUACGGUGAAUACGUUCCCGGGUCU